rnacentral:rRNA from 1 species
CCUACGGGUCGCAGCAGUGGGGAAUUUUGGACAAUGGGGGAAACCCUGAUCCAGCCAUCCCGCGUGUGCGAUGAAGGCCUUCGGGUUGUAAAGCACUUUCGACGGGGACGAUGAUGACGGUACCCGUAGAAGAAGCCCCGGCUAACUUCGUGCCAGCAGCCGCGGUAAUACGAAGGGGGCUAGCGUUGCUCGGAAUGACUGGGCGUAAAGGGCGCGUAGGCGGUUUAUGCAGUCAGAUGUGAAAUCCCCGGGCUUAACCUGGGAACUGCAUUUGAGACGCAUAGACUAGAGGUCAAGAGAGGGUUGUGGAAUUCCCAGUGUAGAGGUGAAAUUCGUAGAUAUUGGGAAGAACACCGGUGGCGAAGGCGGCAACCUGGCUCGAUACUGACGCUGAGGCGCGAAAGCGUGGGGAGCAAACAGGAUUAGAUACCCUUGUAGUC